GCUCAUCCUGGUUGGUUGGUAAUUCCAUUCCAGCCGUCCGUACUGACAUCAAUUGGUAAUUUAAAUUUUAAAUUUUAAAUUAUUCACUUGACAGAAACUACAGUUAUACGUUUUUGUCAUUUUUAAUUAUUUAUAAAUUUUCAUCACUGUUUAUAAUAUUUUUAAACGUCGGUUACACAAUAUCCGCCCAAAUUUUAACUUUAUCCAGAAUUGUGUUUUCUGUAAAGCAUUUUGCGAGAAAUUGAUUGUGAUCCAGCAAUUAAGGAAAUCAUUCGUAAAAUAGAUUAUACACUUCUUAAACUAUUUGUUUGACAGAGUAGAACAUGUAAAUGUAUGUAAGGCGUAGACGUAGAUGAGAUUAGCACUUGUAAAAACUGAUUUUAAACUUAAAUAACAAAUAUUUAAGAUAAGAGGCACGAUGAAUUCACGUACGUCUAAAUACGCCAGGAUUUCCUAGCCACUGCAUCUUUCAUCGUUAAAUAGAUCUGGAAAUAUAAUAGACUUUAUUAGGUAAUAAAAUUGUAACAUUAAUACGAAAUUAAACAAAGCCAAUAUGCCAGUAAUUAUGAUUUUAAUAUGCACAUGCAGUAGGAUGGGCUGCAUAUGUAUUAUGAAACGAAAUAUCAUUGAAUAUACAAUAAAAUCACUGUUGGGGUCAAAUUUUAACGAACUCGGUAAAUUACUAUGCGGGCGACGAGACAUGGUGCAAUUUGUCCACUGCUGUUUUAGUAGAAAAUUCAAGGCUGAUUCAUCAGACGAAGAAUCAUCAUAUAUCAAGUCCAGAAUUGGUCCUCCUACGGCAAUGAACACCGAUUUUCAGGUUUAGAAGACAAAGGAAAUUUAUAAGCAUGUCCCAUCAUCUUGUGUGAAUUAGUUGGUAGCAAUGAAAGGACGUACGUCAACAAAUGCUAAAGAUUAAUUGCAGGUUCUCUCAACCAGUGAGUAUCUGUAUAAGUUGCCACAGACGUAUACAUAAAAUCUUGACAAUUAUUAGGAAGUAGGUACUAAGAAAGCCAUGAAGAUGAACGGGUUUCAAGUGGACUGAUUUUGUUGACUCAUUCUUUCACUUUCCAACUACUCAUCCCAAUCAAAGAAAGAAAAUAUUUGUUUUCAUGAGAUCGUGCUAUCGAAGACAUGGACGAGCAAUAACAAGCCGAGAUUUUCAUCACAAAUCAAAAUAGUUUCAGACAUCGAUUUUUGUCAGUUGCUACUAAAUGUGUAUGGUAAGCAAUUCUCCUACUGGUCUGCUGAUACCAUUUAAAUAGGUAACACUGCGACUUCUUAUCUUGGACACCUGCACGUCGAAUAGAGCCCAAGAAGUCAGACUAUCAGUUAUUAGAUAAAUGCAGAAUUGCAUUGUGCUUGCAUUUCCAUAUAAUAGAUUACAUGUGCAUGUCAUUUUUAUCACAUUGCUCUAGUUUGGUCUCACGCUUCAUCGAUAGUACAUAAUCUUGUUGCCUGAAGCGUAUUUCUGACUGCUUUGUGUGUUUAUAUUUACCAAGGACAUUUAAUAUGUAUUUGUACAUAUAUUAAGCUACAAUCUUUGACUUCCUUUCUUUCUCUUUAGAUUUGAGUUGCAUACGUUUUAAAACUCUUUCUCUAAUUAAGCUUUUAGUUAUAACAUGCAUAGCUUAUGUAAACAUAGGAAAAACUUUUUUAGUAAACCUUUAAGGUAAAUAUAAUUUGGCUCUGGUGAAUUAUUUGUAAAGUGAAAAUCUUCCGCUUGCAGUUGUGGUGUGUCGUUAAGUCUUUGUGAUGGCACGUGUCUCUUAAUUUUUCAACUUUAUCCAUCCGCAGAUACAUUACGUCACUAAUCACCAAUUUCCAUUACAUCACUUUGCCCUUAUCCUACUUGCGAUAGGUUUCCUCAUUUAUUUUCACACCAUUAGUAUGAGCAAGAUAAACUCUGGCAAAUGAAACUAAUAAAUGCUUACGUUCCUCCAUUUCAUGUUAUUAAUCUGAUCAGGUUUACCUUAUUCAGUUCAUCGAUUUUGCCAAGUGGACGUGAAACACUCACAGGCAGCCCUUGCAUUCAGAUUUGAGCAUGAAGGGAGAUUGGGAAUUUAACACUUCUCAUGGUUCUCUCUUAUUCUCUUCCAUCCUCAUCCACUUAACAAGUGUCGAUGUCUUUGGUAACUUUGGUUUGGUGUCGGUGGAGCAGAAAGUUUAAGCAAUUACUGAAAUAGAAUUCAUCUAAUACUGGGUUUGAUCAGAGAAGCGCGCUGAAGCAAUUGUGCUUAUCCAGCAUCCCCUCACACGCUCUCGUCUCUCGUCGCUUUGUUGUCUCAUUUCAUUUCGACAUUGUGCAUUGCCAUUCAUUCGUCAUUUGCACCCUUGCUUUCGAACUACCGAAGCAGAUCCAGAGGAACAACAUCAAAAAGUGCGAAACGAGAUCCCAUCAACUACACACAAGUGCACACAUCCAAUUCCAAUCCAUUCCAUCUCAACAAAUUUUAUUCCUUUGGCUUCGAUGAUAAUAACGACAUCAGUUCUCGCCCUCUUCAGGCAGUGGCGCUACCCUCUCUUUCUCCCAUCAAAUCUCAAUCAUCUUAAUUGUUGGUGAGCUGCUUUCACAAUUCCCAACUUUCCGUUAACACGAAUUGCAGACCGUCGGAGUAAAGUAGUCGAUGCGACGACUUUGAUACCUCAUAUAAUGCACUUUGAAUUCCCUUUUCAAAGGUAUCAACUUCAAUUAAAAAACUUUUAUGUUGACUGAGAGACAAUCGCUUCCCAAGCAAGCGUCUGAUCUACUAAUGUGGCUGAUGCAUUUAUGUCUGGAGCAAAUACUUAUAUAUGUAUGUUACUUACUCCAGAGAGAACUUUCUCUGAAUAGCGUCAUGCUAAAAUUUUAGAGUUGUGCGUAUGCAUGUAUCUCAAAUGUCUACGCAAGAAACCCUUAUUUAUUGUAUCUGACCGGUCUUAUUAACAACUUUCACACAGGCUCCUCAGUUUUUUGCUGGUUCGUACGUAAUGAUUAUGGAUGGCGGAAAAAAUUGGAUGGUUGUGUGUCAUUGGUUGGGUGGGGGAUUGGUAUCAACAAAGCUGAGCCUUAUUUAGUUCGAGAGUAAUCUUCAUUGCUUUUCGCCUCGUACAAAGGGAUGGGGUGGGAGAGGGUGUCGGGAGAAAGAUCUAAUGCCCGGGUGAGUAGUGGUGUGGUGGGUAAGGGUCGUGUGACUCGGUGCAAGUUAGAACAACCAAACGCGAGUAAAGUGCUCCAAGCCAAAGUGAAAUUGGGAGAGGGCGAGGGCGCUUUAUCCCUCCGUCCUCCUCCUCCCCCUUUAUUAUUACCAUUCGUUCGUACAAGACGCACUUUUAUACGAUUUUGUCCGGCUGGACUAUUUGGCUGCACUAAUGUCAAGCAAUAACAUUUUAUACGUGAAAUGAUAAUAUGUGUAAUGCUUGCAGGGAAUUGUCCCAUUUGCCAACAGUGAGAUCAAAAGGACUUAAUCUUGUAAUGAUCAGUAAUAUCACUGCAGGAUGAGAUUGGCCAAUAAAUAGGUGUGCACAUCAUGCAUUGUAUCUUCUUAUUGUUAGUAUGUAUAUCAAGAGAAGGUGCUGCAAAAUUAUAAAUAUAUGUAUGUAUGAAAAUGUGUAUUUUAAGUUAAAUCCUUUUAAAUAUGUAUGACCUAAUAAAACUAAAAUUUUA